GGAACGUGCACUCGUUGCGGAGCAACGAUGGUAAAAGA
rnacentral:ncRNA from 1 species